UUAGAGUGCUCAAAGCAGGCCCGUUACAGGCCUGAAUGGGAGUGCAUGGAAUAAUGGAAUAGGACCUUGGUUCGAUGUUCCGUUGGUUUCUCAGAGAACCCAAGGUAAUGACUAAGGGAGACAAUCGGGGGCAUUUGUAUUGAGGCGCGAGAGGUGAAAUUCUGUGACCGUCUCAAGACAAACAACAGCGAAAGCAUUUGCCAAGGAUGUUUUCAUUAAUCAAGAGCGAAAGUUAGAGGUUCGAAGGCGAUCAGAUACCGCCUAGUUCUAACCAUAAACGAUGCCAACCAGCAAUCCGUCCGGCUAAUACCAUGGUUUGACGGGCAGCUUUCCCCGGGAAACCAGAGUCUUGGUUCCGGGGGAAGGUAUGGUUGCAAAACUGAAACUUAAAGGAAUUGACGGAAGGGCACCACCAGGAGUGGAGCCUGCGGCUUAAUUUGACUCAACACGGGGAACCUCACCAGGCCCAGACACUAUUAGGAUUGACAGAAUGAAAGCUCUUUCUCAAAUUUUAGUGGGUGGUGGUGCAUGGCCGUUCUUAGUUGGUGGAGUGAUUUGUCUGGUUAAU
rnacentral:rRNA from 1 species